GUGAGGUGAUGACGAAGUUUAUCCAUUCUCUGAGUGCAGUGGUGCUGCCCUCCUGCAGCACCCCGAUUCCUGUUCUAGGGUCUGGGUGCUGUGCAGCCUUGUGGUGUGUGCUGGCUGCCUGCAGGAGUGAAGUGCCGGCAGGGUUGGAGCCCCUGUUUGGGGGGUUCUGUCCCCACUGAGAUGAGGGAUGAUGUCUGAUCAC
rnacentral:snoRNA from 1 species